rnacentral:rRNA from 1 species
UAGUGAGUUUGAUCCUGGCUCAGGACGAACGCUGACGGUCUGCUUAACACAUGCAAGUCGAACGCAAGUAGAAAUACUUGAGUGGCGGACGGGUGAGUAACGCGUGAGAAUCUGCCUUCUGGUCGGGGACAACCACUGGAAACGGUGGCUAAUACCGGAUAUGCCUAUGGGUGAAAGAUUUAUCGCCGAAGGAUCGGCCCGCGUCGGAUUAGCUAGUUGGUGGGGUAAUGGCCCACCAAGGCGACGAUCCGUAGCUGGUCUGAGAGGAUGAUCAGCCACACUGGGACUGAGACACGGCCCAGACUCCUACGGGGAGGCAGCAGUGGGGAAUAUUGGACAAUGGGUUAGCGCCUGAUCCAGCCAUCCGCGUGAAGGACGACGGCCCCUAUGGGUUGUAAACUUCUUUUGUACAGGAUAAACCUUUCCACGUGUGGAAGCUGAAGGUACUGUACGA